rnacentral:rRNA from 1 species
UACGUAGGUGGCAAGCGUUGUCCGGAUUUACUGGGCGUAAAGAGCGCGCAGGCGGUCGUUCAAGUCGCGUGUGAAAGCCCCCGGCUCAACUGGGGAGGGUCACGCGAUACUGAUCGACUCGAAGGCAGGAGAGGGUAGUGGAAUUCCCGGUGUAGUGGUGAAAUGCGUAGAUAUCGGGAGGAACACCAGUGGCGAAAGCGGUGCGCUGGAUCUCUUCUGACGCUGAGGCGCGAAAGCCAGGGGAGCGAACGGG